GAUGAACGCUGGCGGCGUGCUUAACACAUGCAAGUCGAACGAUGAUCCCAGCUUGCUGGGGGAUUAGUGGCGAACGGGUGAGUAACACGUGAGUAACCUGCCCUUGACUCUGGGAUAAGCCUGGGAAACCGGGUCUAAUACUGGAUAUGACCUUCUGGCGCAUGCCAUGUUGGUGGAAAGCUUUAUUGCGGUUUUGGAUGGACUCGCGGCCUAUCAGCUUGUUGGUGGGGUAAUGGCCUACCAAGGCGACGACGGGUAGCCGGCCUGAGAGGGUGGACGGCCACACUGGGACUGAGACACGGCCCAGACUCCUACGGGAGGCAGCAGUGGGGAAUAUUGCACAAUGGGCGCAAGCCUGAUGCAGCGACGCCGCGUGGGGGAUGAAGGCCUUCGGGUUGUAAACCUCUUUCAGUAGGGAAGAAGCGAAGUGACGGUACCUGCAGAGCUUGUUGGUAAGAAGCGCCGGCUAACUACGUGCCAGCAGCCGCGGUAAUACGUAGGGCGCAAGCGUUAUCCGGAAUUAUUGGGCGUAAAGAGCUCGUAGGCGGUUUGUCGCGUCUGCCGUGAAAGUCCGGGGCUUAACUCCGGAUCUGCGGUGGGUACGGGCAGACUAGAGUGAUGUAGGGGAGACUGGAAUUCCUGGUGUAGCGGUGAAAUGCGCAGAUAUCAGGAGGAACACCGAUGGCGAAGGCAGGUCUCUGGGCAUUAACUGACGCUGAGGAGCGAAAGCAUGGGGAGCGAACAGGAUUAGAUACCCUGGUAGUCCAUGCCGUAAACGUUGGGCACUAGGUGUGGGGGACAUUCCACGUUUUCCGCGCCGUAGCUAACGCAUUAAGUGCCCCGCCUGGGGAGUACGGCCGCAAGGCUAAAACUCAAAGGAAUUGACGGGGGCCCGCACAAGCGGCGGAGCAUGCGGAUUAAUUCGAUGCAACGCGAAGAACCUUACCAAGGCUUGACAUGAACUGGAACAGCGCAGAGAUGUGUUGGCCGCUUGCGGCCGGUUUACAGGUGGUGCAUGGUUGUCGUCAGCUCGUGUCGUGAGAUGUUGGGUUAAGUCCCGCAACGAGCGCAACCCUCGUUCUAUGUUGCCAGCGCGUUAUGGCGGGGACUCAUAGGAGAGCGGCCGGUUUACAGGUGGUGCAUGGUUGUCGUCAGCUCGUGUCGUGAGAUGUUGGGUUAAGUCCCGCAACGAGCGCAACCCGGAGGAAGGUGGUCAACUCUCGUUCUAUGUUGCCAGCGCGUUAUGGCGGGGACUCAUAGGAGACUGCCGGGGGGACGACGUCAAAUCAUCAUGCCCCUUAUGUCUUGGGCUUCACGCAUGCUACAAUGGCCGGUACAAAGGGUUGCGAGUCACGAAAGUUGGUAACACCCGAAGCCGGUGGCCUAACCCCCUUGUGGGGAGGGAGCUGUCCAAGGUGGGACCGGCGAUUGGGACUAAGUCGUAAC
rnacentral:rRNA from 1 species